UUUCGGUAGCUCGGGCGGUAGCUAGUUUAGUUGGUUUAGUGCUCAAGUUGUCAAAUUUUUAACCUCACUUUCUUACGAAUGAAAUGCAAUAAAAAAAUGUUUUUUUCGAAUGCUUUGGAAGCUGUUUCUGGUGGUAGCUCCACUCAGUGUCCCAAAGUGAUGUAAAAAAAGAAGUUCUGAGUGUAUACAUAACAAUCAAAUCUAAGGAUACUCUUUGAAAAAAAGGUGGAAACAGUAUUCAGAAUGGCCCCCGAAGGGCGAAUCAGUUAUUACAGGAAAGCAGGAAAAUAGUAAAAAUAAUGAAUAAGAAUUUUGCAAAAUGCUCUUAUAGAAAACUUGUACUUUAUGUUUUAUUACGUGGUAAACUUAACAACACACGUUAACACGCCCUUUAUAAACGAUUUAACACCCUUUUUCAUGAAAAUGUUUGAGAAGUUCAUUUUUGCCCUAUAUACAUUUCAAUAAAUCUCACUGAAGUUUUGUCGUUGACUCAAGGUAGAUUUGUCUGCCCAUAAUAAACAUGUUCUGUAAUAAUUAUAAACGCUCUAAAAGAACAGAAACGGAUACAAAAUCCAUAAAUGUGAAAAUUUUUACGUUUCAGAUAAUAACAUAACCCUACUUUUGAAACCGAAUUUUCUGGAGACUUGAAAUUAACAUAAUUUGUGGCAAUACCACAAAUUUUCGCAGCAAAAUGUCACAUCACCGGCUCGUCUGCACAAAGGAAAGGGAGAAAAUAGUGAAAAUAAUGAAUAAGAAUUUUGCAAAAUGCUUUUAUAGAAUAGAAAAGUUGUUGUACUUUAUGUUUUAUUAAGUGGUAAACUUAACAACACACGUUAACACGCCCUUUAUAAACGAUUAUGAUAAUAAACACCCUUUUUCAUGAAAAGGUUGACACGAGAAGUUAAUUUUUCAAUAAAUCUCACUGAAGUUUAUGUCGUUGACUAAAGGUAGAUUUGUCUGCCCUUAAACAUAUUCAAUAAUAAUUAAUAACGCUCUAAAAGUACAGAAAAGCACACAAAAUCCAUUAAAGUUACAAUUUAACAAUUCAGAAGAGAGCACAAUAACCCUAACCCUACUUUCUGAACAUUUGUCUCUAUCUGGCAAUAACACAUAAUAAAGGUAGAGAUUUCGGCCCUAAAUAUACUAUCAUAACGCUCUGAAAGGGCAGAUACAUUGCCAAUAAUUCAUAAAAGUGUAAAUUUUACCAUUUCCAGGUAACAACAUAACCCACUUUAAGAACCUACCGAAUUUUUAACAAAACAAACCUAACAAACAAUUUGUGGCAAAACGCAUUGCGAUACCACUCAUUUUCGCACCAAAAUUUCACAUUGGAAGUUUCUGUUUAAAUAAAAACAUUCAUUUUUGUUUUUCCAUUAACUGCAUGCGAAAUUUUUAUAAUUUUAGAACUUUAUAGGCAAAUAGAUUUGUCAUAAUUAAUUUUUCUAGAUCAAUGCUGUUCUAUUUUGAAUAAUUCAGUGUAUGAAUGUCUCUAAAUUUGACGGAUUGUGCCAGUGAAUAUUUCUGGUGACGAACUGUUUUAGACGUGCGCUGACGUCACAUCCGUGACGUGUCCCGAGGUUAGGUGUGCGGCGCAGGCGGCGAGGGCGGAGCAGUCGACAGCGAGCAGUGGCACGGGUCACAUCGGGAGCUCGAGAGGCGGUUUAUUUAAAUUAUUGUACCGUUUCGUUUAAUUUAUUCAGUUUAUUGCUUGCCGUUGUCGCGAACGGACGUGUGCUCAAGCAAAUAUAAAUUUUCGGGUUUAAAUUUUAAAUUCGGUGAUCGCGGUUAGUGUAGUGUGUGUUAGUGCCAAUGGAAUGGACUUUAAGGAGGAAACAAUCCGGAUUAAAGGUAGGUCCGUUUAAGAAGAAGAUGGCAUCGGAACAGAAAACAAAGGUCAGUGCAUUUUUUUUUCAUUUGUGGUUAAUUUA